GCGCACUGCUCCUUGGAGCAGAGCAGACGAGGCAGCUGUGCUCCCUCUGACGUUAGCGGCGGGGAAACCGGAGCUAAUACCGGAUAAUAUAUUGAACCGCAUGGUUCAAUAGUGAAAGACGGUUUUGCUGUCACUUAUAGAUGGAUCCGCGCCGCACUUACCAAGGCAACGAUGCGUAGCCGACCUGAGAGGGUGAUCGGCCACACUGGAACUGAGACACGGUCCAGACUCCUACGGGGAGGAAACAAUAGGGAAUCUUCCGCAAUGGGCGAAAGCCUGACGGAGCAACGCCGCGUGAGUGAUGAAGGUCUUCGGAUCGUAAAACUCUGUUAUUAGGGAAGAACAAAUGUGUAAGUAACUAUGCACGUCUUGACGGUACCUAAUCAGAAAGCCACGGCUAACUACGUGCCAGCAGCCGCGGUAAUACGUAGGUGGCAAGCGUUAUCCGGAAUUAUUGGGCGUAAAGCGCGCGUAGGCGGUUUUUUAAGUCUGAUGUGAAAGCCCACGGCUCAACCGUGGAGGGUCAUUGGAAACUGGAAAACUUGAGUGCAGAAGAGGAAAGUGGAAUUCCAUGUGUAGCGGUGAAAUGCGCAGAGAUAUGGAGGAACACCAGUGGCGAAGGCGACUUUCUGGUCUGUAACUGACGCUGAUGUGCGAAAGCGUGGGGAUCAAACAGGAUUAGAUACCCUGGUAGUCCACGCCGUAAACGAUGAGUGCUAAGUGUUAGGGGGUUUCCGCCCCUUAGUGCUGCAGCUAACGCAUUAAGCACUCCGCCUGGGGAGUACGACCGCAAGGUUGAAACUCAAAGGAAUUGACGGGGACCCCCACAAGCGGUGGAGCAUGUGGUUUAAUUCGAAGCAACGCGAAGAACAUAACCAAAUCUUGACAUCCGCUGACCCCUCUACGAGAUAUGAGUUUUCACCUUCCGCGGACAGAAGUGACAGGUGGUGCAUGGUUGCCGGUCAGCUCCUGUCCCUAAAAGGCUGGGUUAAGUCCCGCAACGACCCCAACCAUUAAGCUUAGUUGCCAUCAUUAAGUUGGGCACUCUAAGUUGACUGCCGGUGACAAACCGGAGGAAGGUGGGGAUGACGUCAAAUCAUCAUGCCCCUUAUGAUUUGGGCUACACACGUGCUACAAUGGACAAUACAAAGGGCAGCGAAACCGCGAGGUCAAGCAAAUCCCAUAAAGUUGUUCUCAGUUCGGAUUGUAGUCUGCAACUCGACUAUAUGAAGCUGGAAUCGCUAGUAAUCGUAGAUCAGCAUGCUACGGUGAAUACGUUCCCGGGUCUUGUACACACCGCCCGUCACACCACGAGAGUUAUCACUCCCGUUGCCCGUGAUCACCAU
rnacentral:rRNA from 1 species